rnacentral:rRNA from 1 species
CGCAAAUUACCCACUCUCGGCACGGGGAGGUAGUGACGAAAAAUAACGAGGCGGUUCUCUCUGAGGCCCGCCAUCGGAAUGGGUACAAUUUAAAUCCUUUAACGAGGAUCUAUUGGAGGGCAAGUCUGGUGCCAGCAGCCGCGGUAAUUCCAGCUCCAAUAGCGUAUAUUAAAGUUGUUGCGGUUAAAAAGCUCGUAGUUGGAUCUGCGGCCGAGGAGAGCGGUCUUCCUCUGGUUGAACUGCUUUUCCUGGCCUAACUCUCUGGUUUUCCUUUGGUGCUCUUCACUGAGUGCCCUAGGUGGCCAGAACGUUUACUUUGAAAAAAUUAGAGUGCUCAAAGCAGGCUCUUGCCUGAAUAGUGGUGCAUGGAAUAAUGGAAUAGGACAUUGGUUCUGUUUUAUUGGUUCGGAGCUAAUGUAAUGAUUGAAGGGGACAGACGGGGGCAUUCGUAUUGCGACGUUAGAGGUGAAAUUCUUGGAUCGUCGCAAGACGGACUACUGCGAAAGCAUUUGCCAAGAAUGUUUUCAUCAAUCAAGAACGAAAGUCUGAGGUUCGAAGGCGAUCAGAUACCGCCCUAGUUCAGACCGUAAACGAUGCCAACUAGCGAUCCGAGGGCGUUAAUUUAUGACUCCUCGGGCAGCUUCCGGGAAACCAAAGUUCUUGGGUUCCGGGGGAAGUAUGGUUGCAAAGCUGAAACUUAAAGGAAUUGACGGAAGGGCACCACCAGGAGUGGAGCCUGCGGCUUAAUUUGACUA